AUUGAACGCUGGCGGCAUGCCUUACACAUGCAAGUCGAACGGCAGCACGGGUGCUUGCCCCUGGUGGCGAGUGGCGAACGGGUGAGUAAUACAUCGGAACAUGUCCUGUAGUGGGGGAUAGCCCGGCGAAAGCCGGAUUAAUACCGCAUACGAUCUACGGAUGAAAGCGGGGGCCCUUCGGGCCUCGCGCUAUCGGGUUGGCCGAUGGCUGAUUAGCUAGUUGGUGGGGUAAAGGCCUACCAAGGCGACGAUCAGUAGCUGGUCUGAGAGGACGACCAGCCACACUGGGACUGAGACACGGCCCAGACUCCUACGGGAGGCAGCAGUGGGGAAUUUUGGACAAUGGGCGAAAGCCUGAUCCAGCAAUGCCGCGUGUGUGAAGAAGGCCUUCGGGUUGUAAAGCACUUUUGUCCGGAAAGAAAUCCUUGGCCCUAAUACGGUCGGGGGAUGACGGUACCGGAAGAAUAAGCACCGGCUAACUACGUG
rnacentral:rRNA from 1 species